rnacentral:snRNA from 1 species
GUGCUUGCUUUGACAGUACUUACACUAAAAUUGGAGUGAAACAGAGGUGGUUAGUGUAGCCCCUAUACAAGAAUGACACACACAGUUGUGACUUUUCAACAGAAAGG